GAUGAACGCUGGCGGCGUGCCUAAUACAUGCAAGUCGAGCGAACGGACGAGAAGCUUGCUUUUCUGAUGUUAGCGGCGGACGGGUGAGUAACACGUGGAUAACCUACCUAUAGGACUGGGAUAACUUCGGGAAACCGGAGCUAAUACCGGAUAAUAUUUUGAACCGCAUGGUUCAAAAGUGAAAGACGGUCUUGCUGUCACUUAUAGAUGGAUCCGCGCUGCAUUAGCUAGUUGGUAAGGUAACGGCUUACCAAGGCAACGAUGCAUAGCCGACCUGAGAGGCUGAUCGGCCACACUGGAACUUAGACACGGUCCAGACUCCUACGGGAGGCAGCAGUAGGGAAUCUUCCGCAGUAGGCGAAAGCCUGACGGAGCAACGCCGCGUGAGUGAUGAAGGUCUUCGGAUCGUAAAACUCUGUUAUUAGGGAAGAACAUAUGUGUAAGUAACUGUUCACAUCUUGACGGUACCUAAUCAGAAAGCCACGGCUAACUACGUG
rnacentral:rRNA from 1 species